UACAGAGGUCUCGAGCGUUAGGCGGAAUCACUGGGCUUAAAGCGUGUGUAGGUGGAUGCCUAAGUACCUUGUGAAAUCCCACGGCUUAACCGUGGAACUGCUUGGUAUACUGGGUGUCUUGAGUCACUCAGGGGCGAGCGGAACAAAUGGUGGAGCGGUGAAAUGCGUAGAUAUCAUUUGGAACGCCAAUGGUGAAAACAGCUCGCUGGGGGUGCACUGACACUGAGGCACGAAAGCCAGGGGAGCGAACGGG
rnacentral:rRNA from 1 species